UUGCAUAAAACUUUCUAAAUGAAGGAGCCGGAAACCAUAGAUUAUUGUAAUGUUUGCUUACGAAAAGUAAAGCAAAGAUGGGAAGAAGAUGAAACUCCAUGGAAGCCAUCAAACACAAGCUAGAUUUUUUGAUACGCAAUAGCUUGGAGGCUCACCGCUAUUUAUGGAGGUUCGUAUCCAUAAUAUGCCAAAAUAAUAUUUCAAAUUUUUUUAAAAAAUUAAGAAUACUAUUUUCCUCCGUUUAAAUAAAAACCACAACAAAUAGGAUGCAUAUUGGUCUAUUUAUUUAUGAAAAUUUUUUAUAAAACUCAUAAAUAAAAUUUGGUAUGUAUAAGUGUUAAUUUUGCAAUUAAAUAAUAUAAAAGUUACUUUUCAUUAUAUAAUGAAGAUUUAGUUAUUUUCAUUAUUUUUGGUUGUAAUUACA
rnacentral:lncRNA from 1 species